AUUGAACGCUGGCGGCAGGCCUAACACAUGCCAGUCGAGCGCGCGGCGGACGCGUGAGUAAUGUAUGGGGGCUCCCCGAUAGAGGGGGAUAACUCCUGGAAACGCUAGCUAAUACCGCACACUAUCGCAUAACCCAGAUGGGAUUGGCUAGUAGGUGGGGUAAUGGCUCACCUAGGCGACGAUCCCUAGCUGGUCUGAGAGGAUGAGCAGCCAAACUGUGACUGAGACACGGUCCAGACUCCGACGGAGGCAGCAGUGGGGAAUAUUGCACAAUGGGCGCAAGCCUGAUGCAGCCAUGCCGCGUGUAUGAAGAAGGGCGUAGGGUUGUAAAGUACUUUCAGUCGGGAGGCGUUACCGGCAGAAGAAGCACCGGCUAACUCCGUGCCAGCAGCCGCGGUAAUUC
rnacentral:rRNA from 1 species